CAAAGCAGAGCUAAAAUAGAACAGCAUUUCAGUUACGUUGAAAAGAUUUAUCGUGCCAAUCGGUUUGCUUUGA
rnacentral:tRNA from 1 species